rnacentral:tRNA from 1 species
GGACGCUUGGCGCAGUGGUAGCGCGUUCGGCUCCAGAUCGAAAGGUUGGGUGUUCGAUCCCCUCAGUGGUCA